UCGCCACCUAUUAUGUAUAUAAUUGGUAUUUUUUAAAGAUACAUUGGAUACCAUGUCCAUUUCAAAAAGGGAAAAUGCAGUGCAGAGGAUUGUCUGCAGCAGGACAGCCGCCAGGAGAUGGACACCGAGGGGUGUGGUGCUCAUCCAGCAGCUCUCUCAUGAGGAUCUCUCUGUACUUUUGGUAGGUAAUCAUCUCACCAAUGGGGGAGAGGUAGUGGAGAGGAUGAUGAGGGGGUAGGGAGGUAGGUGAGAGAUUUAGCAAAUGUAACUCUAUGCUUUUUGUAUGUGAACUGUAUUUCCAAUUGCAAAAAAACUUGUACAGUAAUGUGGCCAUUUAAAGGCAGCAGUGUCAAUCAGAUGGAAAAAAUAUCUUCUUAUACCACUAGCUGGUUUUCCGAGCGUAUUCCACAAAGCUGUUAAUCAUGUCCACCUGCCCCCAUUUUGUGAUUAAGGUCAAGCACACAGUCUGGUUUGAUCUUUCUCUCUCCCAUCUGGUGGUCUACCUUCCCCAUGGCUCUCGCUUCUCCUUUAGCUCCAUGGCACUGCGAUUGGUCUCCUCCACUAUGUCUCCCACCAGCUCCUCUGCCAGAAACGGUUUGAUGCACUCUGCCUCAGCGGGAGAAGGCAAGAGGCUUUGUACUCUAGACUGGGACUCAUUAAAGCCAACAGCAGGGCCAGGAAGGGUGAAAUGGCUGGAGGCCUUCCAGCUACUGCAGACCUCCUGCACUUCACCCACUGUUCGUCUGACUCCAUCACCACCAGCAUCUUCAGAGGGACCUGGGACUUCGUCGGUGGGCAAGGGGUCCUCAGAUUCAGGGUUCUCUAUGGAAAUAAAGGUUGGGGGCAGCACUUCACUGUCAGAAUCUGAUUAAUCACUUUCAUACUCAGACUCAUUGUCAGAUUUUACAACAUUUUUGAGUUGUUUUCAUUUUAAAGACAUUGCUAAUGCUACAGCUUAGCCAACUAGCUACGUACAUAAACAACAACAUUGAAUGGCUCCGAGUGAGUGUCCAGGGUGAUGUGUAGGAUACUUAACAUGGCAGGUUAGGUGAAUUAAUGUGUCAGGUUAGGAGAACUAAUGCAGCAGGUUAGGUGAAUUAAUGUAGUCGGUUAGGUUAAGAUUAGGAAAAUGGUUUGGGUUACGCCUCGAUCACACCUACAGCGUCAUUGCGCAAAAUGGUACACUGCAUCAUCUGGAUAUGUGUUGAACAAAAGUUCAACAUUCAUCUUCUGCUACCAUUUAUGUCAAGCUGUCUAUGCAUACAAUUUGAUUAAUAUGUUAGAUAAAUCCAAAAUAUGCACCAUGCAGAACGCACUGCAACUGCCUCUGCAACGCAAUGCUGCACGGCAAACACAGCGUGUACUUCUUGUGUACCAAAAUGCAACGAAGUUG
rnacentral:lncRNA from 1 species